GACGAACGCUGGCGGCGUGCUUAACACAUGCCAGUCGAACGGUAAGGCCCAGCUUUGGUGCUUUGCUCGAGAGGCGAACGGGUGAGUAACACGUGAGUAACCUGCCCCGUACUCAGGGUACACCUUACGAAACUGGGGCCAAUACCGGAUAGGAGUUCUUGCUGCUAGGUGUGGGUUGGAAAGUUUCGGUGGGUGGGGAUGGACUCGCGGCUUAUCAGCUUGUUGGUGGGGUAGGGGCUUACCAAGGCUUUGACGGGUAGCCGGCCUGGGAGGGUGACCGGCCACAUUAGGACGGAGAUGAGACACAGACUCGUACGGGAGGCAGGGGUGGGGAGGAUUACAUAAUAGAAGGAAGCCUAAUGCGACAAAGCCGCGUGCGGGAUGACGGGCAUCGAGUUGUAAAGCAAUUUCGCCUGUGACGAAAAGAGAGUGACGGUAAUAGAUGAAGAAGCACCGGCUAACUACGUG
rnacentral:rRNA from 1 species